CCUACGGGUGGCUGCAGUGAGGAAUAUUGGUCAAUGCGCGCGAGCCUGAACCAGCCAAGUCGCGUGAGGGAUGAAGGUUCUAUGGAUCGUAAACCUCUUUUAUAAGGGAAUAAAGUGUGGGACGUGUCCUAUUUUGUAUGUACCUUAUGAGUAAGGAUCGGCUAACUCCGUUCCAGCAGCCGCGGUAAUACGGAGGAUCCGAGCGUUAUCCGGAUUUAUUGGGUUUAAAGGGUGCGUAGGCGGCGUUUUAAGUCAGCGGUGAAAGUCUGUGGCUCAACCAUAGAAUUGCCGUUGAAACUGGGAGGCUUGAGUAUGUUUGAGGCAGGCGGAAUGCGUGGUGUAGCGGUGAAAUGCUUAGAUAUCACGCAGAAUCCCGAUAGCGGAGGCAGCCUGCCAAGCCAUGACUGACGCUGAUGCACGAAAGCGUGGGGAUCAAACAGGAUUAGAUACCCCUGUAGUC
rnacentral:rRNA from 1 species